ACUCCUACGGGAGGCAGCAGGCGCGAAAACUUUACAAUGCUGGCAACAGCGAUAAGGGAACCUCGAGUGCCAGGUUACAAAUCUGGCUGUCGAGAUGCCUAAAAAGCAUUUCAUAGCAAGGGCCGGGCAAGACCGGUGCCAGCCGCCGCGGUAACACCGGCGGCUCGAGUGGUAACCGUUAUUAUUGGGUCUAAAGGGUCUGUAGCCGGCCGGAUAAGUCUCUUGAGAAAUCUGGCAGCUUAACUGUCAGGCUUUCAGGAGAUACUGUCUGGCUCGAGGCCGGGAGAGGUGAGAGAUACUUCAGGGGUAGGGGUGAAAUCUUGUAAUCCUUGAAGGACCACCAGUGGCGAAGGCGUCUCACCAGAACGGACCUGACGGCAAGGGACGAAAGCUAGGGGCACGAACCGGAUUAGAUACCCGGGUAGUCCUAGCCGUAAACGAUACUCGCUAGGUGUCGGCCACGGUGCGACCGUUGUCGGUGCCGUAGGGAGGCCGUGAAGCGAGCCACCUGGGAAGUACGGCCGCAAGGCUGAAACUUAAAUGAAUUGACGG
rnacentral:rRNA from 1 species